UACGUAGGGUGCAAGCGUUAAUCGGAAUUACUGGGCGUAAAGCGUGCGCAGGCGGCUAUGCAAGACAGAUGUGAAAUCCCCGGGCUCAACCUGGGAACUGCAUUUGUGACUGCAUGGCUAGAGUACGGUAGAGGGGGAUGGAAUUCCGCGUGUAGCAGUGAAAUGCGUAGAUAUGCGGAGGAACACCGAUGGCGAAGGCAAUCCCCUGGACCUGUACUGACGCUCAUGCACGAAAGCCUGGGGAGCAAACAGG
rnacentral:rRNA from 1 species